rnacentral:rRNA from 1 species
UACGUAGGUGACAAGCGUUGUCCGGAUUACUGGGCGUAAAGAGCGCGCAGGCGGUCGUUCAAGUCGCGUGUGAAAGCCCCCGGCUCAACUGGGGAGGGUCACGCGAUACUGAUCGACUCGAAGGCAGGAGAGGGAAGUGGAAUUCCCGGUGUAGUGGUGAAAUGCGUAGAUAUCGGGAGGAACACCAGUGGCGAAGGCGACUUCCUGGCCUGUUCUUGACGCUGAGGCGCGAAAGCUAGGGGAGCAAACGGG